AGAGUUUGAUCCUGGCUCAGAACGAACGCUGGCGGCAUGCCUAACACAUGCAAGUCGAACGAAGCCUUCGGGCUUAGUGGCGCACGGGUGCGUAACACGUGGGAAUCUGCCCUUAGGUACGGAAUAACAGUUAGAAAUGACUGCUAAUACCGUAUGAUGACUCCGGUCCAAAGAUUUAUCGCCUAAGGAUGAGCCCGCGUCGGAUUAGCUAGUUGGUGAGGUAAAGGCUCACCAAGGCGACGAUCCGUAGCUGUCUGAGAGGAUGAUCAGCCACACUGGGACUGAGACACGGCCCAGACUCCUACGGGAGGCAGCAGUGACGAAUAUUGGAC
rnacentral:rRNA from 1 species